UACGAAGGGGGCUAGCGUUGUUCGGAAUUACUGGGCGUAAAGCGCGCGCAGGCGGUCUUCCAAGUCAGUGGUGAAAGCCCGGAGCUCAACUCCGGAACUGCCAUUGAAACUGUGAGACUUGAGGAUGAGAGAGGUGAGUGGAAUUCCCAGUGUAGAGGUGAAAUUCGUAGAUAUUGGGAAGAACACCGGUGGCGAAGGCGGCGCUCUGGACCGAGACUGACGCUGAGGCGCGAAAGCGUGGGGAGCAAACAGG
rnacentral:rRNA from 1 species